rnacentral:tRNA from 1 species
ACAACCUUAACUUAAUUGGUAGAGUACUAGCCUUCUAAGCUAAUAAAUCUUGGUUCGAAUCCAAGAGGUUGUA